rnacentral:rRNA from 1 species
UACGGGGGGUGCGAGCGUUGUCCGGAUUCACUGGGCGUAAAGGGCGCGUAGGCGCCUCGUCAGUCGGGCCUGUAAGUGCGGGGCUCAACCCCGUGAUGGGCUCGGGACGGCGGGGCUGGGGCGCGGCAGAGGGAGACGGAAUGCCGGGCGUAGCGGUGAAAUGCGUAGAUAUCGGGAGGAACACCAGUGGCGAAGGCGGUUGCCUGGAGCUUUGCUGACGCUGAGGCGCGAAAGCGUGGGGAGCGAUCCGG